GGGGCCUCCAGAAAUGUUGCAGAAACCAGUACUCAAGAAACCAAGCACCAUACGUGGAGAGUUGGAGAAUUCCGGUUUUUCACACUGGCAGGCCCAGAGGAGUUAACACUCUAAGCUCUGAGCCCUGAACAAAGGGGUUACAGAGUUUUUAUACAUG